AUGCUCAGCCCCUGGUGUAGCAGAGCACUACAUGGGGAAGCAAUUCUGCUCUCAUUCAAUGCGCUGGGAGUUUGUUUCUCCUGUGUGCCAGGCCUGAGAUUGAUUGACUUCAAACUGCAGGUUGAGAGGAAGGACCAGCAAGUGGAAUUCAAAUACAGCUGGGAAAGAAGGUCCAUCCUGAUAAAAAAAGAGCUUAGGCCCAGCUGCCUUGGGAGACGUGGGAACAAAGCUGGCCAAGGCAUUGGAGAAACCACCAGGGAGGAACAUUUCUGAGCAGCACAAAACAUUCCAGGGACUAGAAGAGAGGAAAUGUGCAACAGGAGCUGUUUUCUGCUAGCUGGAAGACAGGAACUUUCUGGAUGUAAAAUGGAUAGUAUGUUUUCUAGAAGGAAAUUUAAAGUGGAUAUUAAAAGGAUAUAGCUGCAUGAUUAGAAACAGGAUUUUUAAGGAAACCAUGGGAUAUUGCAUGAAGCAGAUCUUCAAAGUGACCCAGCAUGGAAGUGUCUUGAAGAUGAGUGAGUGAGGUCCAUGAAGAGGAUGAGUACCAUGCAGCAUCCCAGCACCACGCAUCAAGAUGCCCACCCCAUCACCAAAUCCCUAGUCCUGAGCUCAACACCCCGAUUCUUAGUACGAUGCAUGAAUCAUAUUACAGAAAUGCCAGAGUGGUAAAUUAGAGUGGUGCAGUCCCCAACCCACUGCAGGGCAUGGGAUAGGGAGGAGAAGACAAGUUAAAGGCACGUUAUUCUUUCCUGGAGUUAAUGCUUCAUUCUGGACUGUCAUUUCUCGUUGUCUUCUCUAAACAGUGGAAGGAGUGGUUUGUGUCCCAUUACUCACUAAAUGGAGCAAUAAUCCUGUGAUGGCACCACUUCAGCUGGGGAAAGCUGAGGUAUAAAUCCUGUUUCUUUCCUUUCUGCAGCCAGUCGUCAAAUCUGAGUUUUUGCUUUUGCUCAACUUCUCAAUUAUAAAGCAAUCUCUCAUUUGGCUCAUAAGAAAAAGCUGCUUCCGUAGGCUUGAGUGCAGCUUUAAAAUGCCAUUUUGCAUAUGCAGACUCCAUUAUGUUGAAAUGAGCAGGCAAUGUAUUAUGUUGUCUCACUGUCUUUCUAGCUCUCCCCAUGACAAUAGAAAUUGAUGGAAAUUCAGUCAGACCCCAGUUGCUGUUUCUGGAACAUUGUAAGCAAAUAUGUGUGAGAUAAAGCAAAAUAAAAGAUGUGUUACUGCAACUAACA
rnacentral:lncRNA from 1 species